CACCGGGUUGCUGAGGCUAACCUUAAACUUGUGAUCCUCUUACUUUACCCUCCUGAUUUCUUGGGAUAAGAGACAGCACCAGAUAGGGGUGGUUUGGGAAGGACUUUGUGCAUAGCCUUGAAGUAAACAUUGAAGGGGAAGAAAUUGCCAUGUAAAAUAAAAAAGCCUGGAGAAAAUUUCAAAUGAAAACAUAAGAAGGAGACUUAUGGGGAAAAAAAUCCUUGAAGCAUAAAUGAGCAUAAUCAAAGGAACUGUUCUGGGUACUAAAAAUACAGCAGCAAGAAAGAAAAAAAAGGAAAAAUGGAGGGAGGCAUGGAAGGAGGAAAGAAAGAAAGAAGAGAAAGACAGAAGAGGGAUUGAGGAAAGGAGAAAGAAAAGAAGAAAAGAGGACACAAAAAUUAUUGCUUUGAUGAGUUCAAUUCCAGUGGAUAAAGGCAGAUAAUCAAUAAAAAUGAAAAGGGAUUGAUAGAGAGGGAAAUAGCUGGACUUCAGAAAUAGCUAGACUUGCACUUUGGAGAAAAGAACUCUAUUGAGGAGAAUGAAUAAUCAACAAAGAAAGGAACUGUGUGUAAGAAAACAACAACAAAAAAACACAACAAAAGAGAAGAGUGAUCUAUGUCCUUGGUGAUCCCUUUUGGAGGUAGAACAUUCUAUAAUGAUGAAGGUAUCAUCCCAGACUACUGUCUGAUUUGUGGAACUAGGAAGGCAUUGGAAAUGUGCCCAACUCGUCUACGGCAACUGACUGCAGUUUUUAAAACCCAAACAUGCUGAUGCUUGUUGAGUGUAAUUGGCCAUGCUGCAUCGUGAUGGCUUUGGGAGGGUGGAGAUGCUCAUUUUGCAACUUUGGGAUCUCAAGUCAGCUAAUUUAAUGAAGACCCAGACUCCCUACUGUUGAAAGAGACUCUCACGAAAUUAGCCUUCACCAUUGUUUGUCUCCUUAAUGUUAGUGUUGAACUUAUGCAGAUUGAGUACCUGUAUGGUGCCCAUUAGACCAAUGUGAUUGAGUUAA